CCUACGGGGGGCAGCAGUGGGGAAUAUUGCACAAUGGGGGGAACCCUGAUGCAGCCACGCCGCGUGAGUGAAGAAGUAUUUCGGUAUGUAAAGCUCUGUCAGCCGGGAAGAAGAAGACGGUACCUGUCCAAGAAGCCCCGGCUAACUACGUGCCAGCAGCCGCGGUAAUACGUAGGGGGCAAGCGUUAUCCGGAUUUACUGGGUGUAAAGGGAGCGUAGACGGCACUGCAAGUCUGGAGGGAAAGCCCGCGGCCCAACCACGGGACUGCUGUGGAAACUGCGGGGCUAGAGUGCAGGAGGGGUAAGCGGAAUGCGUGGGGGAGCGGUGAAAUGCGUAGAUAUUAGGAGGAACACCGGUUGCGAAGGCGGCUUACUGGAGAGUAACUGACGUUGAGGCUCGAAGGCGUGGGGAGCAAACAGGAUUAGAUACCCGAGUAGUC
rnacentral:rRNA from 1 species